GCCUGGGUGGCUCAGUCGGUUGAGCAUCCGACUUCGGCUCGGGUCAUGAUCUCAUGGUUUGUGGGUUCGAGCCCCGCGUCGGGCU
rnacentral:tRNA from 1 species